rnacentral:lncRNA from 1 species
AAGGCUGACUCCGGAGCUAGAGAGGAGCACAUUCGAGCGAGAAGCUACGUGGGUGCAAACAACACUCCAGUUUCUGCCCGGGAGGAGCCGGAUCUAACAACUAGGUUGCAACCAGAGGAAUCGCGCUAGUUGAAGGCGUCUAGGCUGCCGUGCGCCUCGGGGUUACUGCCGGGCAUCGCGCGGGCGGGGCGGGCGCUAGGAGGGGCAUGUCCUCGGCCUCAGGAACCAUCAUAAUGGAAACACUCAUAGGCAUCUGGAGAGGUCUGAGGCUCUCAUCCACACCAGCCUCGACGAUAGGAGUCUGUGGUGGUCCUUCUGUUCUAGAAAGUGCCCUCUUUCCUGGCAUCCCAAAAAUCUGGGAGGGUCAAGGAGAAACUGAUUUUCAAAAAUACCCUUUCCUGCAGGAGUUCAAGCCCCUACCUACCGACCGACCUGUGGUCUCUGAAGUUGGACAAUGCUCCCCAACAGGUGCAAACAGAAUACCUGUUUGACCGGGCUUUGUCUCUAAAAAACAUGGAGGGAGAAGGAUUUAAAACCAAGGAAACUACAUACGAGGUGAUGGAAAUGCUAUUAAGAGAUGGGACCCAUACCUGACACUAUCAAUGAGGCUAAGAACCUGUAACUAGAUUACUGAAUUUUUCAACUCUCCUUGCAGUGAUGUGAAUUAACACAGAGACCUACAAUUGAUUCAGGGAUCUAUGUAGAAGAGGAAGCAGGGAGAUUCUAAGAGCCAGAGAUGGUGGAUGACUUCAAAGAAACAAUGUUUUCCAGCUACAACAGUUUGCAGCAGUAUGGAGGCUGGCAGGAUUGCCCAAGCAGAAGGCUGAGGCCACAAGAGGAACAAUCUGUUGGAGCAAGGCUUUGGAGCACUUGUUCGUGAAGGGUGUAAUAAUAAGUGCCGUGGUGUGGGAACUUAAACAAAUAAGAAUCUCCUUCCUCAAAGUUUGAGAGGCCCAAGAUUCAAGAUGGACAUGUCCACAGGAUGGGCGUCCUUCACUCCUGUAUCCAUUGCUAGGCUUUGCCUUCCUGCCCACUCAUGAACUCAGAGAUACUUGGAUGGCUCUAUAUGAAAGGCAAAAGAAAAGGAAGAGAAAGCAAGUCAAGACAGAGUUGGCACACACAUGCAACCGUUCCCUGGUGGUUCCCAUUGGAGAGAACCAAUGAUGGAAGGCCUUGGAGAAGCAGAACAGGCAGCUAUGUCCCUUAUGAAGAUGAGGAAGCCAGGGAGAAAUACAGAUAACACCUUAAAGGACAUGCUGAAUCUAGCACAAUGGAUUGGAAGGGUGAACCUCUACCAUCACUUACUGGAGAACGCAUUUGACCAAUGAGAUACUGAGCUAAUCACAAGCACUAGACAUUCCUGGAGAAGAAGGAGGGGAAGCUGCUUAGAAAAACCUGCUCAACCUAUUAUGGGGUCCUUGAAUUAUCGGAGGAUACUUCCACAGUUCCCCAGGUCCAGUGAAGUAGCGGGCAUGCAGCAUUGGCCACUCCAUUGUUGUGUUUGUCUGUCAGAAUGAUGACACCUCUCAAACCAACAAGAAAAUACAAACUUGCUUCAAUAGCAUCUUGCCUUUGUACAUUAGUAUCUUUGGACAAAAGCAAAGACAAUUAUUCAGUGAGCUGUAAAAAUGAAUAAAUAAAUACUUU